GACGAACGCUGGCGGCGUGCUUAACACAUGCAAGUCGAACGGCAACGCCCUGCUUUCGUGCGGUUCUCGAGUGGCGAUCGGGUGCGUAACACGUGAGUAACCUGCUCUUCUCUUUGGUAUAACUUCACGAAACUAGGGCUAAUAUCAUAUCGCAUCUCCCGCUGCAUGGUGGGCGUUGGAUCUUUUCGGCGGGUGGGGAUGGAUUGGCGGCUUAUCAGCUUGUUGGUGGGGUAGUGGCUUACCAAGGCUUUGACGGAUAGCCGGCCUGAGAGGGGGACCGGGCACAUGGGGACUGAGAGACGGCGCAGACGGGUACGGGAGGCAGCAGGGGGAAAUAUGGCACAGUGAGAGGAAGCCGGAUGCAGCAACGCCGGGGGCGGGAUGACGGCCUGCGGGUUGUGAACCGCUGUCGCCUGUGACGAAGCGGGAGUGACGGUAAUGGGUAAAGAAGCACCGGCUAACUACGUG
rnacentral:rRNA from 1 species